GUGCCGACUAGACUGCAAGUCGAGCGCGGGAAGCAAGCAGAUCUCCUUCGGGAGUGACGCUUGUGGAACGAGCGGCGGACGGGUGAGUAACACGUGGGCAACCUACCUGUAAGACUGGGAUAACUCCGGGAAACCGGGGCUAAUACCGGAUGAAACAAAGCGUCGCAUGACGCAAUGUUAAAAGGCGGCAUAUGCUGUCACUUACAGAUGGGCCCGCGGCGCAUUAGCUAGUUGGUGAGGUAAAGGCUCACCAAGGCAACGAUGCGUAGCCGACCUGAGAGGGUGAUCGGCCACACUGGGACUGAGACACGGCCCAGACUCCUACGGGAGGCAGCAGUAGGGAAUCUUCCGCAAUGGACGAAAGUCUGACGGAGCAACGCCGCGUGAGUGAUGAAGGUUUUCGGAUCGUAAAACUCUGUUGUUAGGGAAGAACAAGUGCCAUUCGAAUAGGUUGGCACCUUGACGGUACCUAACCAGAAAGCCCCGGCUAACUACGUGCCAGCAGCCGCGGUAAUACGUAGGGGGCAAGCGUUGUCCGGAAUUAUUGGGCGUAAAGCGCGCGCAGGCGGUCCUUUAAGUCUGAUGUGAAAGCCCACGGCUUAACCGUGGAGGGCCAUUGGAAACUGGAGGACUUGAGUACAGAAGAGGAGAGUGGAAUUCCACGUGUAGCGGUGAAAUGCGUAGAGAUGUGGAGGAACACCAGUGGCGAAGGCGACUCUCUGGUCUGUAACUGACGCUGAGGUGCGAAAGCGUGGGUAGCGAACAGGAUUAGAUACCCUGGUAGUCCACGCCGUAAACGAUGAGUGCUAGGUGUUAGGGGGUUUCCGCCCCUUAGUGCUGAAGUUAACGCAUUAAGCACUCCGCCUGGGGAGUACGGCCGCAAGGCUGAAACUCAAAAGAAUUGACGGGGACCCGCACAAGCGGUGGAGCAUGUGGUUAAUUCGAAGCAACGCGAAGAACCUUACCAGGUCUUGACAUCCUCUGACACCCUAGAGAUAGGGCAUUCCCUUCGGGACAGAUGACAGGGGUGCAUGGUUGU
rnacentral:rRNA from 1 species